CACCUCUUCCCAUUCCGAACAGAGAAGUUAAGCCCGCCAGAGCCAAUGGUACUGCCGUAACAGGUGGGAGAGUAGGUCGGUGCCCAAU
rnacentral:rRNA from 1 species